UACGUAGGGCGCAAGCGUUGUCCGGAAUUAUUGGGCGUAAAGAGCUCGUAGGCGGCUUGUCACGUCGAUUGUGAAAGCCCGAGGCUUAACCUCGGGUCUGCAGUCGAUACGGGCUAGCUAGAGUGUGGUAGGGGAGAUCGGAAUUCCUGGUGUAGUGGUGAAAUGCGCAGAUAUCGGGAGGAACACCCGUGGCGAAGGCGGCUCUCUGGGACGGUACUGACGCUGAGACGCGAAAGCGUGGGGAGCGAACAGG
rnacentral:rRNA from 1 species